rnacentral:rRNA from 1 species
UACGUAGGGAGCAAGCGUUGUCCGGAAUCAUUGGGCGUAAAGCGCGCGUAGGCGGCCCUGUAAGUCCGUUGUGAAAGUCAAAGGCUCAACCUUUGAAUGCCGAUGGAUACUGCAGGGCUAGAGUCCGGAAGAGGCAAGUGGAAUUCCUGGUGUAGCGGGUGGAAUGCGCAGAUAUCAGGAGGAACACCAACGGCGAAGGCAGCUUGCUGGGACGGUACUGACGCUAAGGCGCGAAAGCGUGGGGAGCGAACAGGA